rnacentral:rRNA from 1 species
UCCGGGGCUUAACUCCGGGCGUGCAGGCGAUACGGGCAUAACUUGAGUACUGUAGGGGUAACUGGAAUUCCUGGUGUAGCGGUGAAAUGCGCAGAUAUCAGGAGGAACACCGAUGGCGAAGGCAGGUUACUGGGCAGUUACUGACGCUGAGGAGCGAAAGCAUGGGUAGCGAACAGGAUUAGAUACCCUGGUAGUCCAUGCCGUAAACGGUGGGCGCUAGGUGUGAGGGUCUUUUCACGACUUUCGUGCCGUAGCUAACGCAUUAAGCGCCCCGCCUGGGGAGUACGGCCGCAAGGCUAAAACUCAAAGGAAUUGACGGGGGCCCGCACAAGCGGCGGAGCAUGUGGAUUAAUUCGAUGCAACGCGAAGAACCUUACCUGGGCUUGACAUACACUGGAUCGGGCUAGAGAUAGUCUUUCCCUUUGUGGCUGGUGUACAGGUGGUGCAUGGUUGUCGUCAGCUCGUGUCGUGAGAUGUUGGGUUAAGUCCCGCAACGAGCGCAACCCUUGUCUUAUGUUGCCAGCAUUUGGUUGGGGACUCAUGAGAGACUGCCGGGGUCAACUCGGAGGAAGGUGGGGAUGACGUCAAAUCAUCAUGCCCCUUAUGUCCAGGGCUUCACACAUGCUACAAUGGUCGGUACAACGCGCAGCGACACUGUGAGGUGGAGCGAAUCGCUGAAAGCCGGCCUUAGUUCGGAUUGGGGUCUGCAACUCGACCCCAUGAAGUCGGAGUCGCUAGUAAUCGCAGAUCAGCAAUGCUGCGGUGAAUACGUUCCCGGGCCUUGUACACACCGCCCGU